GAACUGGGCGCGCCGGAAGCCCUUUGGAGCAGCCCUGCGGAACUGGGCUUUUAUCUCCGCGAGGGAGGGAGCGGCCCAGGGGGCGCCACUUGCUGGAGGAGGACGACAGAGACAUCUAAAAGGUGGGAAACCAAGGCCUGGAGAGUUCAGCCACUUGUCCAAGUUUAAACCGAGUGAAAUCAGCAAGAGAGAGAGGACGUGAGCAUGGGUCUCCCAACUCCCACACUGCACCACCGUGCCAGCAGCUGAGGCAAAACCAGGGUUCUGUGGUUGGCUUGAAAGGCAGUGGCCUUAGGCAGAAUAGAGUUAAACAAAGAAGUGGUGUUGGUCUGUGCCUGGGAUCCAAACCAGGGAACCUGGGACACCGAAGCAGAGUGUGUGAACUUAACUGCUGUGCCACCUGGCGGGCCCCCAGGAUGUUUCAUUUUUGAGGUAAUUCCGCGUGGCACUUGAGUAUAGUUUUCUCAUCAGGAUGCUUGCCCUGUAAGGAACUUCAGAAAUUGGCCACACUCUUUUAUUUUUCCAGUUGGGAAAACUGA
rnacentral:lncRNA from 1 species